UUUUCUCUUAAAGUAGGGAAAUUAUAUUAUGUAACAGAAUGCAAGCUAAGAGAAAAAAAUUAAUUUUAAUAUUUAUAAUACUAAAGGCAUGAUGGGAUCUAAUCAUUCACUCAUCAAUAAGUUGUAGAAUUAAUGUCAUGAGUUAAUAUACUCUAGCUACAAAUAAUUACUGUAUAGGCAGGAUUUAAAAUGUCUGAAGGGGCAAAUAAUGAAUUCUAUCUUUUUCUAUCUCUCAGCAGAGAUGGAGAACUAUAAUUAUAGGAGAUAUUAUAUUGAACUGAGAGAAGAGGAAAGGGGAAGUAAAAGAGGAUAAAUUUCCUUUUUUUAGUUAUAGCAAUCACUCUGAUAGAUAUAAGGUAGUACCACAGAACUGUUGUUGUUGUUUUAAUUUGUGUUUCUCUCAUCAAUAGUGAUUUGGAGCAUUUUUUUUUAAUAUGAGUAAAGGUCAUUUAAUUUUUUCAUCUGAAAACUGACUCCAUAUCCUUUUAUCAUUUAUCAAUUGUGGAAGGACUUAUAUUUUUAUAAAUUUUACUCAGUUCUCAAUAUAUAUGAGAAAUGAGGCCAUUAUUAGAGAUACUUGUUACAAAAAAUUUCCCCUAGUUUUCUGCUUCCCCUUUAAUUUUGUUGCAUUGGUUUUGUUUGUGCAAAACCUUUUUAAUUUUAUAUAGUCAAAGAUAUUGAUUUUACUUUUUAAAAUGUUCUCCAUAUCUUUAUUGGUCCUAAAUUCUUCCUUUUCCACAAAGCUGACAGAAAAACUAUUCUAUGCUCUCUUAAUUUGUUUAUGGAAUCAUCCUUUAUGUCUAAAUCAUGUGCCCAUUUUGACCUUAUCUUGGCAUAGAGUAUGAGAUGUUGGUCUAUACCAAGUCUCUAGUAUUUUACAGUUUUCCCAGCAGUUUUGUCAAAUAAUAAGUUUUUGUACCAAAAGCUUGGAUCUUUGAAUUUAUCAGAUUUAUCAUUUACUAGAUUAUUAUGAUAAUUUAUUAGAAUACAAUUUGUACCUAAUCUGUUCCAUGGAUUUAUUAACAUAUAUAUAUAUAUAUAUAUUUAUAUUUAUAUUUUUAAGCCAGCACCAGAUUGUUUUGAUGAUUACUGCUUUGAGAUCUGGUAUGGCUGUACCACUUUCUUUUACAUUUUUUAAUUGAUUUCCUUGAUAUCCUCACUCUUGUUCUUCCAAAUGAAUUUUGUUAUUUUUUUUUAACUCCAUAAGACACUUUUUUGGUAGAUUUGAUUGGUAUGACACUGAAUAAGUAGAAUUUUGUGGAAUUGUCAUUUUUGUAUAUUGGCUUAACUUAAUCAUUAGCAAUUAAUAUGUUUCCAAUUCUUUGAAUCUGAUUUUUUUUUUUUUUUUUUUGGUACUGUCUGGUUGUUUAAAAUGGAAUUUUUGUUUCAAUUUCUUGCUGCUUGACUGUCUUGAUAAUAUGUAGAAAUACUAAUGAUUUAUGUGUAUUUAUUUUACAUUUUUCAAUUUUGCAAAAGAUAAUAAUGAUUUCAAGUACUUUUUAAUUGAUUUUCUAAGUAUAAUAUCAUACCAUCUACAAAGAACUAUAUUUCAUUGCCUUUUCUAACAUUUUUUUCUUUUCUUAUUGCUAUAGUCAACAUAUUUAGUAAAAUAUUAAACAAUAGAGGUGAUAAUAGGCAUCCUUGGUAAUCCUCUGAUUGCAUUUAUCUAGUUUAUCCCCAUUACAGAUAAUGCUUGCUGAGAGUUUUAGAUAAAUAGUAUUCAUUAUUUUAAGGUAAACAUUUAUUCCAGUGUUCUCUAGUUUUUUGUUUUGUUUUGUUUUUGCUGAGGCAAUUGGGGUCAAGUGACCUGCCCAGGGUCACACAGCUAGGAAGUGUCAAGUGUCCAAGACCAAAUUUGAACUCAAGUCCUCCUGACUUCAGGGAUGGUGCUCUAUCCACUGUGCCACCUAUCUGUCCCAACUCUCUAUUAUUUUUAAUAAGAAUGAGAGCUAUAUUUUAUCAAACCUUUUUAUGUGAGAUAAUCAUAAAAUUUUUUUAGUUGUUUUACUGAUGGGUCAAUUAUGCUGACAGUUUUCUUAAUAUUGGACCAGCUCUGCAUUCCUGGAAUAAAUGCCACCUGGUCAUAGUUUAUGAUCUUUGUGAUAUAUUGCUGUAAUUUCCUUGCUAGUAUUCUAUUUAUUUAUUUAUUUUACAUUAAAAUUCAUUAAGGAAAUAGUUCUGUAACUUUCUUCUUCUGUUUUGGUUCUUCCCAGUUUGGGUGACAGCAUUAUAUUUGUGUCAUAAAGGGAAUUUGUAGGACUCCUUUUUCUUCCAUUUUCCAAAUAUUUUAUUGUAAAGGGCUGAACCUAUGAAAAGGUGUACUUAAAUCAGACAACUGAGCACUUAAGGCUAAUUACCUAUUUGAUGUGAGACAAUGACUCUAUUAGCAUAUGUUCUGGAUAAAUGGCUCUUCUCAUUGUUUGGUGCUUAUUCAAUAUUUGAUGUUAAGGUAUUUUGGGGCAGGACAGGGAGCAGAGAAAUUGGUGAUUUUGGACUCAAGAAUCCAGAAGUCUUGUAUCAGUUUAUCUGUCUCCUUCAUUUCUCCCCCUCAAGACAAAAGACUUUAAUUCAUCCUGACUGGCAAAUCCUGAGGCCUCUAGGGAGCUAACCUGGGCUUAACAUUUUAUACAAUAGUGAGAUUAAUUGUUCUUUAAAUGUUUAAUAGAAUUUGCUUGUGACUCUAUUAGGUUCUGGGGAUUAUUUCUUAAGAAGUUCAUUUAUGGUUUAUUCAAUUUCUUUUUCUAAGAUUGGAUUAUUUGAUUAUUUGAUUUCUUUUUCUGGUAAUCUGGGUGAUUUAUAUUUUUUGGGAUAUUCAGCCAUUUCAUUUAGAUUGUCAAAUUUAUUGGCAUAUAAUUGGGUAAAAUAGCACCUAAUAAUUAUCAUAAUUUCCUCUUCAUUUGUGGUUAAUUCAUUCCUUUAAUUUUUGAUACUAGUAAUUUGAUUUCCUUCUUUCCUUUUUUGAAUUAAAUUAACCAGUGGUUUAUUUACUUUAUUGUUUUUUUUUUUUUCAUAAAACCAACUACUAGUUUUAUUUUUUGAUUCAAUGGUUUUCUUUUUUUCACUUUAUUAAUUUCUCUUUUGAUUUUGAGGAUUUCAAUUUGAUAUUCAAUUGAGAAUUUUUAAUUUGUUCUUUUUUUUUAGCGUUUUAAAUUUCAUGAUCAAUUCAUCAAUCUGCUUUUUCUUUAUAUUAUUGAUGUAAGUAGUUAGAUAUAAAGUUUUACCUAAGUACUACUUUGGCUAUAUCCCAUAAAUUUUGAUAUGUUAUCUUAUAGUUAUUUUUUCUUUAAUGAUUUCAUAUUGAUUGACUCAGUUGUCUUUUUAGAAUUGAUUAUAAAUAAUUUUAAUUUUUAAUUUUAUAUAUAAUUUUUCAUUUUAAUUUUAUAUGUAAUUUAAUUUAUAAUUUUAAAUUAUACAUUUUAACUAAAUUUUAAUCUCUUUUCAUUGUCCAUUAUUGAAUGUGAUUUUCAUUAUAUCAUGAUCUAAAAAGGAUAUGUUUACUAUUUCUGCUUUUCUGCAUUUGGUUGUAGACUUUUUAUGCCCUAAUACAACCAAUUUUUGUCUAGUUGCCAUGUACUGUCAAGAAAAUUCCCAGGUAAUUUUCUGAAGAUGUCUAUGAGAUCUCAAUUUUCCAGAAUUUUAUUCCCUUCCUUAACAUUUAUUUUGUUUGUUUUUUGAUUAGGUUUAUCUAGUAUUAAAAGGUGAGAGUCCAAGUCUAUUUCCUCCUGUAACUCAUUCAACUUCUUCAAAAAUUUAGAUAAUAUACCAUUUGAUGCUUAUAGUUUAAUAUUCAUAUGACUUCACUGGCUGUGAAGUUUUUUUUGUUUUUGUUUUGUCUGAGAUCAUAAUUGUUACUCCUGCAUAUUUUUGCUUUAGCUGAAACAUAAUAGUUUCUGCUUUAGCCCCCUAUCUUUACUCUGUGUGUAUCUCUGUGAUUGGAAUGUGUUUUCUAUAGGCAACAUAUUAUAGGAGUUUGGUCUUUAGUCCAUUCUGCUAUCUUUUUCUGUUUAAUGAGUAAUUUCAUACCAUUCACAUUUAUAUUAUAACUUUUUUCCUCCUUUUUCAUUCAUUUAUACCUCUUUUUCUUAACCCUUCUGCUUUCUCUCUUUACAAGUGUUUUACUUCUGAUCAUCACCUUCCCCAAUAUACUAUGUUAUGUCCCAUAUAUUAAUUCUCUUUCCCUUCCUAUUAUCUCCAUACCACUUUACUUCCUUAUAGGGUAAAAUGGAUUUGUAUAUCCAACUAACUGUGUAUGUUAUUCCCUCUUUGAGCCAAUCUUGAUGAGAAGAGAGUUUAAUUUUUGGCUGCCAAUCUUCCCUCUUUUCCUCUAUUAUAAUAGCUCUUUAAUUCCUCUUUAACAUGGGACAAUUUUACCCCAUUCAAUCUCCUGCUUUCUUCUUUGUGAGGGUGUACUUGAAUCUAAAACAGCAGGGUGCCUGUAGCUAAGUAUCUGCCUGGUGUGAGAUGGUGACUCUCUAAGCACAUACUUGAUGUAAUGUAAUGAUGUGGUCAAUCCAAUUUGCCACUUAUGUAAAGUAAUGUGGUGAUGUGAUAUUCUACAGCUGCGCAUGCUCAGUGUGGUAUCAUAAUGUAGUCAUGAGGGGCAUUUAAGGGAGUUCCAGGGCCAAAGGACUCUAUCAGCUUCGGUGAUCUCAGCUACAAACACUUUAGGCUCCAGAAUCCAUCUUUGACCAGCCACGUAUCUUCUUCCUGCCUCCUUUACUUCACUUCCCUACUAAGCUCAAGGCCUAGAGUUGAUCCCAAGGCCCACCAGAGAGCUAGCCUGGACAUUAAAUAGUUCCUUUUGUAAUGGAGUCAUAGGGGGUGGGCAGGACUUCUGUAUGGGCGGUGGUGAUAGUGUCACUGCCUUUCCCACUCCUCCUUUUCUCUCCACCCAGGAAGGCAAAAUUGACAGAGGAGGGUCAGAACCUGCUCAGGUAUAGGUGGAGAUGAAACAAGAGGCCAAUGGGGCAUGGUAUUCAACUUGGUCUAACUGGUUAUGCCCUCCAGCUGUGUUGUCAGUCCCAUCCCCUUCUUCCUUUUUCUCCUCAUACUUCCUUGUUAGACUAUCCGUAUUAUACGCAAGAUCUAAUUCUCCAUACCUUUCAGCUGCUUUAUCAGUACCCUCCCUUUCCUGUUCUUUCUCCUUUUUCCUUAUUCUAAAACAUAUGUAAUUCCUUAAAGCCAAUUGUAUUAUAUUGUAUAUAUAGAAUAUUUCUUCAGGAAUUCAAUCAGGACCAUUAUUUUCAUAAUAUUCAAAUAGUUGCUCUCCCACUAGUUUCCACUUGUCUGGCUUUAAUCCUUCUUCCUUUGAGAACCAAGGGGACAUGUACUCUAAUGUUUCUAAAAGUCUAAGGAUCUGAUCCGAAGUUACCAACAAACCUUGGCUCUUCAUUAAUCUAACUAUGCUUUCUUCACAGUUCCCUUGGGGUAGAGGAGACUCUUUUCUUGGUAUUUGCCCCAUUUCAGCUAAGAAAUGAAAGUUACUAGUUUAGCCCUUAACAAAGUUUCCUCCUUGUCUAUUUUUAUACUCACCCUAUUUCCAGGUCACAGGGACUUCACUGAACAUAAGAUGACUGCAUCAGUUGAGCUUCGUGCAGGUCCUUAAUCCAUGUUGGGUGCCAAUAUGCUAGCUCUCUGGUGGGCCUCAGGAUCAGUCUGAGGCCUUAGGCUUAGUGGGGGAGUGAAGUGAAGGAAGCAGGAGAGCAGACAUGUGGCUGGUCAAAGAUGGGGUAUGGGGUCUGGAGUCUGGAGCCUGAAGUCUUCUCUGUGGCUGAGAUCACCCUAGCCGAGAGAGCUUUCUAUCUCUGGGAUUCCCUUAAAUACCCCAGCACAACUACAUUAUGACACCACACUGGGCAUGCUCUGUAGAACAUCACAUCACCAUAUUACCCUAAAGAUACACCAACUAGAUUGACCACAUCAUUACAUCAAGUAUGUGCUUAAAGAACCACCAUCUCACACCAGGUAGGUACUUAACUACAAUCACCCUGCUACCUUAGAUUCAAGUACACCCUUUCAGAGUUCUGGAUCCACUACAUUUCUCCAUACACAAAUUUUUUUCUCACCCCUUAAUUUUUUGGGGGGAGGAAUCAUCCCAUUAAAGUCACCUUAUAUCCACACUUUCUGUGUACAUAUACACCUAGUUGCUCUUAUAUUAAUAAAGUUCUUAAGAGUUACAAAUCUCAUCCUUCAUAUAUAAAUUUAAACAAUUUAAUCUUAUUGAAUUUAUUCUGUUUUCUUCUUGUUUCUUUUUUAACUUUGCUAUGUUUCCUUUUAGUCUUGUAUUUGGAAGUCAAUUUUUUUUUAUUAUUAUUAUUCAGCCUAAUUUUUUAAUUUGACAUGCUUGAAAGUCCUCUAAUUCAUUAAGCUUUCUCUGUUAGUUGACCAGGGAGAAGUGACUUUAUUGCAGCUCUGCUCCAGGGAUGGUGUCCUGAUGCUGAGUUGCCACAAGAAACAGAGCCUUUUUGUUGGCAGGCGUCAGGGGCAGAUUAUCAGUGUUGGUCAGCUCCAGGGCAGGGCUUUACUACAGGUUGGCAAUUAGGCCAAGACCUCUCAAGUGGCUUGUGCAGAGAUUUGGGCUUCUGGGGUAGCACCUUGAGGCACUGCACAGAUCGCUCACUUUCUUAGAUUACCAGUAAGCAGAAGCAUGGCACUUGCUGGUAGAUUGCCUCAGGCCUGGAGACUUGCUGCAAGUCUUUUGCUAUGAGGCUGACUGUUGCUGAUAUUCUUGGAACCUCUCUCUCCUUCUACCUCAGUGAGAUAGACCUUUCCUGCCAUGGUGGUAAACUGCUUCCCUGUUAAUACAUCAAUUCUGAUAUGGUUUUCUAAUUGUUUUGGAGGGAAAUGAAGGAGGGUUUCAAAAGAUUCCUUCUUUACUAUGCCAUCUUGGCACAGGAAGUUGUGACGGGCCUUUAAGGCUAAAGAGAGGAGCUCAUAUGUAAUCUCAGUAUUAGUAAGGAGCUGUUGAGAAUUGAUUGGGGAGAGAACAAUAUGCUAAAAUGUGAGAUCAGGUAGAAUUAUUUUGUCAGUGUGAGCAAGAUGGAUCAAAGUAAGGAGAGAUUCAAAGCAAGAAGCCCAUUUAAAAGGAUGUUCUAAUCAAGAUGAGAAGUAAUAAGGACCUAAAAUGAGAAUGCAGAGUAGUGUAUGAGCAAAGAGAAAACGUCAGAUUUGAGAAAUGUUGUAAAAUUUGAAAUAGCAAGAUUUGGCAACUGAUUGGACAUGUGGGGUGAAUGUGACUAAGGAAUUGAGGAUAAUGACAGGGUUAAAAAUAGACAAGAUUGAAAAGAUAAGGAUUGGAAGUAGGAGCAGUUCAGAGUUCAAGGGGAAAGAUGGUGAAUCUAAUUUUGGAUAUAUUGGUUUUGAGAGGGUUCUGAGACAUCCAGUUUGAAAGGUCUACAAUGUAAAAUAUUUAUCUAAAUUGUCAAAUAGUCAUUGCAUCAGUUAGUUUUAUGUGAUUGUUUAUUUUUUCCUUGUUUACAAAGGAAAGAUUGAUUAUGGGGGGGGGGGGUGAUAGGCCAUAUCCAGAACAAUUAUGAUUAAAAAACAAAGCAAAACAAAACAAAAACAUAGUUUAUUUUCCAAGAUGUAGAUUAAAGUGGGCUGAAAUUAGGUUGAAUAUGAUCUGACUUAAUUUCUUGUAAAAAUACCACCCCCCAUCCCAUACACAUAUACGUUUUUUGCAGUUUUCAAAACAUAUUGGGUUAAAAUAUUCCAGUUUUUUAACCUUUUCCAGAUGAAACAACACAAAAAACAACUAACUUUAACUCAUUCCAAGCCUUUUUCAAUACAAUGUCCAACAGUGAUUGGUUUUUGUGACAAAAGGGGAAUGAUUUCUGGGGUGGUGCCAUGAGGCACUGCAUAGAUCACUCACUUUCAGUGUAUUGGUACUUAUUAUUAUACAUCACAUUCUUUCCUUUGCAAAAUGUCCUUUCUUCCAUUUAUUAAAAUCCUGUAGGGAAAAAUAUGGCUUGAUAUGAAGUCAACUAGACUGUGGAGUGAUUUUCAGCGUGUAGUCUUUAUUACAGAAGUAUUGCCUAAACUAAAUAUAUAUUUAUAUUUCUAACAGAGGGAACACAAUUAUAUAGUUCAAAGUGAACUGUGCUUCAAAAUCAUUUUGAAGUAAAGUGUACAUCUAAAAAAUUCACCUCAAAAAAAAUUUUUUUUUUCCUUUCUUUUAAAUCGUUCAAAGGGAGGCUUUCAGUUCUGAUUCUCAUUGUUUGACCUACAAAAGUUCUAAUAUAGAAGCAGCAUCACGGGAUGAACUUUAAAACUGCAAACUAAUGUCAGAAAGAAGACAAAUAUAGAUGAAUCUAUCCUUUGCCCAAAUAAUCAGUUGAAAAGUAGAGAGAGAGAGUACCUUCAGUUGAUUACAUCUAUGGUCAUCUAGCAAGAAAUUGCCAUCAGUGAGACCCUUUGGAUACAGAGUAUGUAGCAAAAGUCUGAGUGGAGUAUUAUGUCAUUAAAGCUGAAAAUUGCACUGGGUUUUGGAAUAUGUUAUAAUUCACAAAGGCACUGAAGAGAAGAUACAAGGAUUUAAAUUCUUCUUAGGAUCUCAGAUAAAGAACUUUAAAGAGAAGAAGAUUGGAACCAAUAAUUGCAAAAAAAUCUAUGGAUUAUGCCUAUAUUUUGUUUAAAUAAAAAAUCCCUGAUAGUUGAGCUAUAAUUCAUUUUCUUUGGAACUCAGUUCCAACUUCAUCGAUAAAUUCAAGGAGUCCACAGAUUUCCUCCUCUUUGAGAACUCCAAAUAUCUCAUUGGAAAUACAAAUAUAAUCAUCAAUCACUUCUUAUAUCCACCCAUUCCAUAACAGAGCAGGAGAGCAUGUGAGAAAGUAUGAUACAGUGCAAAAGGCACAGGAUUUGGAUUAAGAAGGUCUAAGGUUCAAAUUGUACUUCUGCUAUUUACUAUAUGACAAUAAAAAAAAAAAUUAACUUCUCUGUGUUUUGGUUUCCUUCAUUGUAAAAUAAGCAGAUUGUAUCAGAUCACCUUAGUU